rnacentral:rRNA from 1 species
AUUGAACGCUGGCGGCAGGCCUAACACAUGCAAGUCGAGCGGAGCGGCGGACGGGUGAGUAAUGCCUAGGAAUCUGCCUGGUAGUGUUGGAUAACGUCCGGCAACGGGCGCUAAUACCGCAUACUAUCCCAUGAGCCUAGGUCGGAUUCGCUAGUUGGGGGGUGAACGGCCUACAAAGGCGACGAUCCGUAACUGGUCGGAGAGGAUGAUCAGUCACACUGGAACUGAGAAACGGUCAAGACUCCUACGGGAGGAAGCAGGGGGGAAUAGUGGACAAUGGGCGAAAGCCUGAUGCAGCCAUGCGGCGGGUGUGAAGAAGGUCUUCGGAUUGUAAAGCACUUUAAGUUGGGAGGCGUUACCAACAGAAUAAGCACCGGCUAACUUCGUGCCAGCCGCCGCGGUAAUAC